rnacentral:rRNA from 1 species
GACGAACGCUGGCGGCGUGCUUAACACAUGCAAGUCGAACGGAAAGGCCCUGCUUGUGUGGGGUGCUCGAGUGGCGAACGGGUGAGUAACGCGUGAGUAACCUGCCCUUGACUUUGGGAUAACUUCAGGAAACUGGGGCUAAUACCGGAUAGGAGCUCCUGCUGCAUGGUUGGGGUUGGGAAUUUUCGGCGGUUGGGGAUGGACUCGCGGCUUAUCAGCUUGUUGGUGGGGUAGUGGCUUACCAAGGCUUUGACGGGUAGCCGGCCUGAGAGGGUUACCGGCCACAUUGGGAUUGAGAUACGGCACAGACUCCUACGGGAGGCAGCAGUGGGGAAUAUUGCACAAUGGGCGGAAGCCUGAUGCAGCAACGCCGCGUGCGGGAUGACGGCCUUCGGGUUGUAAACCGCUUUCGCCUGUGACGAAGCGUGAGUGACGGUAAUGGGUAAAGAAGCACCGGCUAACUACGUG